rnacentral:rRNA from 1 species
UGAGCCUACGGGGGGCAGCAGUGGGGGAUAUUGGACAAUGGGGGGAACCCUGAUCCAGCGACGCCGCGUGAACGAAGAAGUUAUUCGUAAUGUAAAGUUCUUUUAUCAGGGAAGAAAGAGGAAUUUGACGGUACCUGAGGAAUAAGCUCCGGCUAACUACGUGCCAGCAGCCGCGGUAAUACGUAGGGAGCGAGCGUUAUCCGGAAUUAUUGGGCGUAAAGGGUGCGUAGAUGGCAUAGUAAGUCUUUUGUAAAAAUGCUGGGCUCAACCCAGUAGGGCAAAAGAUACUGCAAAGCUAGAGUAUG